AUUUUAGUAUAAGUAUGUCCUAUGCAAUAUUUAGGACACAUUUAUAUUAAAG
rnacentral:pre_miRNA from 1 species